UGGGGAAUAUUGGACAAUGGGGGCAACCCUGAUCCAGCCAUGCCGCGUGAGUGAUGAAGGCCCUAGGGUUGUAAAGCUCUUUUGUGCGGGAAGAUAAUGACGGUACCGCAAGAAUAAGCCCCGGCUAACUUCGUGCCAGCAGCCGCGGUAAUACGAAGGGGGCUAGCGUUGCUCGGAAUCACUGGGCGUAAAGGGUGCGUAGGCGGGUUUCUAAGUCAGAGGUGAAAGCCUGGAGCUCAACUCCAGAACUGCCUUUGAUACUGGAAGUCUUGAGUAUGGCAGAGGUGAGUGGAACUGCGAGUGUAGAGGUGAAAUUCGUAGAUAUUCGCAAGAACACCAGUGGCGAAGGGCGGCUCACUGGGCCAUUACUGACGCUGAGGCACGAAAGCGUGGGGAGCAAACAGGAUUAGAUACCCUGGUAGUCCACGCCGUAAACGAUGAGUGCCAGCCGUUAGUGGGUUUACUCACUAGUGGCGCAGCUAACGCUUAGCAUUCCGCCUGGGGAGUACGGUCGCAAGAUUAAAACUCAAAUGAAUUGAC
rnacentral:rRNA from 1 species